UGGAAACUCUCAGUCUGUCAGGAUGUCUGAUCACAGAGGAAGGCUGUGCUUCUCUGGCCUCAGCUCUGAGCUACAACCCCUCCCAUCUGAGAGAUCUGGACCUGAGUAACAACAACCUGCAGGAUUCAGGAGUAAAGCAGCUUUCUGCUGGACUGAAGAGUCCACACUGUGGACUGGAAUCCCUCAGGCUGAGUGUCUGUAACCUCUCAGAGAGAAGCUGUGCAGCUCUGUCCUCAGUUCUCAGCUCCCAGUCCUCUAGUCUGAGAGAUCUGGACCUGAGUAACAAUGACCU